CCUAUAAAAACUGCAUUGUAACUUCAGCCCUGUGCAGCCUUCACUAGGAAGGUUGCCCUGGCCAGUAGGUAUGUUUAUUAAUCAACAGAUUAAUAAAUAAAUAGAUAUUGGUUCCAUUAAUUUGAUCUUCUGGGUGUCCAGGCUCGCUUCAUGAAGCGCACCACUUCAGCUGAACUGGGUCCCUUGAUAUCACCACGACGAUGGAACUGGGAUGGCAGGAGCCAUCGAGUUUAUCGAGUGCAGAAGGAAGGCAUCCUAGGUGGUUUGGUGGCUAGAGCACUGGACGUGAAAUCCGAAAAGCCUUGGGCUUCAAUGCCGUCCCUCCACCGCCAGGAUCUCUGAGACUUAGUUUCCUCACCUGGAACAUAAAGGAUACUUCACUCUGCUCCACUUUUUACACUCCCCUCGCUUUUACUGAAUCCGAGAUUUAGCGCUGGAAGGGAAUUUAGAGUUCCUCAGGUUCAGCUCCUUCAUUUUACAAAGGAAGAAAUUGUAGCCCAGAGAGGGAAAGUCACGUGCCUCGGGCCACAUAUCAGUAGAAGACUUCAUGUUCAACUGAGAAUCCCGGAACUAGAGGUAAGUAUCCUCAGUUUCCCUCCUCUGUAUUUCAAAGCAUCUCUACAUCUUCAUACAUGUUUCUCCUUUGCCUUUGUCUUCAGCAGUGCUCAGGGGCCAAGGCCUUCAUUUAGUGCUCAUAUGCCUAGGAAUUGUUUGGCUCUUAAAAUGCAAUGGGACCACCUCAAACAUUUCUUCAGUUAUAAAGGGAUUUGAACUUCCUUUUCCUCAACAUUCACUCCAUGGUUUAGUCAAGAGAUGAUCAAGGCCUGCUUGUGCCCACUAUCUAUGACUUGUCUAAAAUCACAAUGGGUUUUGGAGAUUAAGUUGUGUCUUGAAGGACAAAGGCACAUUUAACUUGUCUAUGUCCUCUCUUUACAGACAUUUCCACCAAAGUUCUUAUGAAAAGCAUAGAUUCAUGAUAUCUGAAAGGGGUUUAGAGUUUUAUGCACUUAAAAUUUUCAACUUCUUCAUCUUUCACAAUUUCUUGGCUUAAAGGGAACAUAAAAGUUCAAAGAUUGUGGUCUAGAAAUCUUGAAUGACUUGAUUUAGAGAAUUAGAUCCUGCAAACUGGUGCAUGGUAGGCUACUUUUGAUCCAUGGGAUAUCUUUUUGAUCUCUAAUGUAUGUGAAAUGAAGGGAGAGUUCUGAAUGGUAGGGAUGUGUGUGUGUGUGUGUGUGUAUACCUGCACAUGUUUAUGUAUGUAUGUACGUAGAUGAAAUUAUGAGAGGGAGUUAAGAAAAAUUUUAAGCUCAGAUCACACAAAAAAAGAAACUUUACAAAUGGAAUGACGAAUAAAAAGAAUGGGUCACUAACUUUGUCCA
rnacentral:lncRNA from 1 species